rnacentral:rRNA from 1 species
AUUGAACGCUGGCGGCAGGCCUAACACAUGCAAGUCGAACGGUAGCACAGAGAGCUUGCUCUCGGGUGACGAGUGGCGGACGGGUGAGUAAUGUCUGGGAAACUGCCCGAUGGAGGGGGAUAACUACUGGAAACGGUAGCUGAUACCGCAUAAUGUCGCAAGACCAAAGAGGGGGACCUUCGGGCCUCUUGCCAUCGGAUGUGCCCAGAUGGGAUUAGCUUGUAGGUGAGGUAACGGCUCACCUAGGCGACGAUCCCUAGCUGGUCUGAGAGGAUGACCAGCCACACUGGAACUGAGACACGGUCCAGACUCCUACGGGAGGCAGCAGUGGGGAAUAUUGCACAAUGGGCGCAAGCCUGAUGCAGCCAUGCCGCGUGUAUGAAGAAGGCCUUCGGGUUGUAAAGUACUUUCAGCGGGGAGGAAGGGAGUGAGGUUAAUAACCUUAUUCAUUGACGUUACCCGCAGAAGAAGCACCGGCUAACUCCGUGCCAGCAGCCGCGGUAAUACGGAGGGUGCAAGCGUUAAUCGGAAUUACUGGGCGUAAAGCGCACGCAGGCGGUCUGUCAAGUCGGAUGUGAAAUCCCCGGGCUCAACCUGGGAACUGCAUUCGAAACUGGCAGGCUGGAGUCUUGUAGAGGGGGGUAGAAUUCCAGGUGUAGCGGUGAAAUGCGUAGAGAUCUGGAGGAAUACCGGUGGCGAAGGCGGCCCCCUGGACAAAGACUGACGCUCAGGUGCGAAAGCGUGGAGAGCAAACAGGAUUAGAUACCCUGGUAGUCCACGCUGUAAACGAUGUCGACUUGGAGGUUGUUCCCUUGAGGAGUGGCUUCCGGAGCUAACGCGUUAAGUCGACCGCCUGGGGAGUACGGCCGCAAGGUUAAAACUCAAAUGAAUUGACGGGGGCCCGCACAAGCGGUGGAGCAUGUGGUUUAAUUCGAUGCAACGCGAAGAACCUUACCUACUCUUGACAUCCAGAGAACUUAGCAGAGAUGCUUUGGUGCCUUCGGGAACUCUGAGACAGGUGCUGCAUGGCUGUCGUCAGCUCGUGUUGUGAAAUGUUGGGUUAAGUCCCGCAACGAGCGCAACCCUUAUCCUUUGUUGCCAGCGGUCCGGCCGGGAACUCAAAGGAGACUGCCAGUGAUAAACUGGAGGAAGGUGGGGAUGACGUCAAGUCAUCAUGGCCCUUACGAGUAGGGCUACACACGUGCUACAAUGGCAUAUACAAAGAGAAGCGACCUCGCGAGAGCAAGCGGACCUCAUAAAGUAUGUCGUAGUCCGGAUUGGAGUCUGCAACUCGACUCCAUGAAGUCGGAAUCGCUAGUAAUCGUGGAUCAGAAUGCCACGGUGAAUACGUUCCCGGGCCU